rnacentral:rRNA from 1 species
UACGUAGGAGGCAAGCGUUGUCCGGAAUUACUGGGCGUAAAGCGCGUGUAGGUGGUGGGACAAGUCUGCUGUGAAAGCGCCUGGCUUAACCGGGCGAGGUCGGCGGAAACUGUCCGACUCGAGGACGGUAGAGGGGGGUGGAAUUCCCGGUGUAGUGGUGAAAUGCGUAGAGAUCGGGAGGAACACCUGUGGCGAAGGCGGCCCCCUGGGCCGGCCCUGACACUGAGGCGCGAAGGCGUGGGGAGCGAACGGG